rnacentral:rRNA from 1 species
CUACGGGCGGCAGCAGUGGGGAAUAUUGGACAAUGGGCGAAAGCCUGAUCCAGCCAUGCCGCGUGUGUGAAGAAGGCCUUCGGGUUGUAAAGCACUUUCAGUGGGGAAGAAAGCCUUGGGGCUAAUACCCUCGAGGAAGGACAUCACCCACAGAAGAAGCACCGGCUAACUCCGUGCCAGCAGCCGCGGUAAUACGGAGGGUGCGAGCGUUAAUCGGAAUUACUGGGCGUAAAGCGCGCGUAGGCGGUCUGAUAAGCCGGUUGUGAAAGCCCCGGGCUCAACCUGGGAACGGCAUCCGGAACUGUCAGGCUAGAGUGCAGGAGAGGAAGGUAGAAUUCCCGGUGUAGCAGUGAAAUGCGUAGAGAUCGGGAGGAAUACCAGUGGCGAAGGCGGCCUUCUGGACUGACACUGACGCUGAGGUGCGAAAGCGUGGGUAGCAAACAGGAUUAGAUACCCCUGUAGUC